rnacentral:rRNA from 1 species
UACGUAGGGGGCUAGCGUUGUCCGGAAUCAUUGGGCGUAAAGCGCGCGUAGGCGGCCCGGUAAGUCCGCUGUGAAAGUCAAAGGCUCAACCUUUGAAUGUCAGCGGAUACUGCCGGGCUAGAGUCCGGAAAGAGGCGAGUGGAACUCCUGGUGUAGCGGUGGAAUGCGCAGAUAUCAGGAAGAACACCAACGGCGAAGGCAGCUCGCUGGGACGGAACUGACGCUGAGGCGCGAAAGCGUGGGGAGCGAACAGG